UACGUAGGGGGGCUAGCGUUGUCCGGAAUCAUUGGGCGUAAAGAGCGUGUAGGCGGCCCGGUAAGUCCGCUGUGAAAGUCGGGGGCUCAACCCUCGAAUGCCGGUGGAUACUGUCGGGCUAGAGUGCGGAAGAGGCGAGUGGAAUUCCUGGUGUAGCGGUGGAAUGCGCAGAUAUCAGGAGGAACACCGAUGGCGAAGGCAGCAGACUGGGCGUUUCCUGACGCUGAGGCGCGAAAGCGUGGGUAGCAAACAGGA
rnacentral:rRNA from 1 species